CAUUCACUUUGUGUAUUUUGCUUUUGGUGGUGGGUUGUUUUUGGUUUUUUUAAUUUACAAUUUAUGUGGAAAGAGAUCAUAUAAAAUUGACCUGAAAGAACCAAUUUACAAUUCCUCCUCUUCAGGACUUUUGUAGUCUUGCUCACUUUUUAUGUUGGAGACUGAAAGGAUCACCUUCCUGAAUAUUUAUCAGAAUGUUUUAAGGUAAAAAACUGAGAAUGGAUCUCCUUGGAGAGGAAGGAGAGAGAAUGGCACAUCUAAAGGAUGCAAUCGAUCAUCCUGAACAUUGGUCCCUUUAAUAUUAUGAAAAUGGAACUGUAAAAGUGAACAAAAUGAGCAAUUCAGAAGUAUUCUUUGGGCCAACGCAAAACCUGCCUGGAUUCUGUCAUCCUUAGUCACAGUGAAUAGCAGGCUACUCUGUAAAUAGUCCUCAUUAUUUCAAUAUGAAUAAGGGUCACCCAAUUUGGUGCUUAGGGAUGACAUAAUUUUUCAUCUGCAUU
rnacentral:lncRNA from 1 species